rnacentral:tRNA from 1 species
GUUGGCGUAGCUUAACUAAAGCAUA